UGAGGAAUAUUGGUCAAUGGGCGAGAGCCUGAACCAGCCAAGUAGCGUGCAGGAUGACGGCCCUAUGGGUUGUAAACUGCUUUUAUGUGGGGAUAAAGUGAGCUACGUGUAGUUUAUUGCAGGUACCACAUGAAUAAGGACCGGCUAAUUCCGUGCCAGCAGCCGCGGUAAUACGGAAGGUCCGGGCGUUAUCCGGAUUUAUUGGGUUUAAAGGGAGCGUAGGCCGUGGAUUAAGCGUGUUGUGAAAUGUAGACGCUCAACGUCUGAAUUGCAGCGCGAACUGGUUCACUUGAGUAUGCGCAACGUAGGCGGAAUUCGUCGUGUAGCGGUGAAAUGCUUAGAUAUGACGAAGAACUCCGAUUGCGAAGGCAGCUUACGGGAGCACAACUGACGCUGAAGCUCGAAGGUGCGGGUAUCAAACAGGAUUAGAUACCCUGGUAGUCCGCACAGUAAACGCUGGAUGCCCGUUGUUAGUUCACUUAAGAAUUAGCGACCAAGCGAAAGCAUUAAGCAUCCCACCUGGGGAGUACGCCGGCNACGGU
rnacentral:rRNA from 1 species